UUGUUUUGGCGAGUUUGAACGUUUUUGAGCAUGUGUAAUGGCAUGAAUGCGUUAAGCUGUUGUUUUAGUCUUCUUUUGAUGAGUUUGGCUUGUUGUUAUGAACAUUGUUCGUUUUGGCGAGUUUGAACGUUUUUGAGCAUGUGUAAUGGCAUGAAUGCGUUAAGCUGUUGUUUUAGUGUUCUUUUGAUGAGUUUGGCUUGUUGUUAUGAAAAGUGUUUGUUUUGGCGAGUUUGAACGUUUUUGAGCAUGUGUAAUGGCAUGAAUGCGUUAAGCUGUUGUUUAAGUGUUCUUUUGAUGAGUUUGGCUUGUUGUUAUGAAAAGUGUUUGUUUUGGCGAGUCUGAACGUUUUUGAGCAUGUGUAAUGGCAUGAAUGCGUUAAGCUGUUGUUUUAGUGUUCUUAUGAUGAGUUUGGCUUGUUGUUAUGAACAUUGUUCGUUUUGGCCAGUUUGAACGUUUUUGAGCAUGUGUAAUGGCAUGAAUGCGUUAAGCUGUUGUUUUAGUGUUCUUUUGAUGAGUUUGGCUUGUUGUUAUGAACAUUGUUCGUUUUGGCCAGUUUAAGGUUUUUGAGCAUGUGUAAUGGCAUGAAUGUGUUGAAUUAGUAAUCCCUCGUGUUAAGCCG